AGUGAACGCUGGCGGUAGGCCUAACACAUGCAAGUCGAACGGCAGCACAGGAGAGCUUGCUCUCUGGGUGGCGAGUGGCGGACGGGUGAGGAAUACAUCGGAAUCUACUUUUUCGUGGGGGAUAACGUAGGGAAACUUACGCUAAUACCGCAUACGACCUACGGGUGAAAGCAGGGGACCUUCGGGCCUUGCGCGAUUGAAUGAGCCGAUGUCGGAUUAGCUAGUUGGCGGGGUAAAGGCCCACCAAGGCGACGAUCCGUAGCUGGUCUGAGAGGAAGAUCAGCCAAACUGGAACUGAGACACGGUCCAGACUCCUACGGGAGGCAGCAGUGGGGAAUAUUGGACAAUGGGCGCAAGCCUGAUCCAGCCAUACCGCGUGGGUGAAGAAGGCCUUCGGGUUGUAAAGCCCUUUUGUUGGGAAAGAAAUCCAGCUGGCUAAUACCCGGUUGGGAUGACGGUACCCAAAGAAUAAGCACCGGCUAACUUCGUGCCAGCCGCCGCGGUAA
rnacentral:rRNA from 1 species